rnacentral:rRNA from 1 species
UACAGAGGGUGCGAGCGUUGUCCGGAAUCACUGGGCGUAAAGGGCGCGUAGGUGGCCUGAUAAGUAGGGGGUGAAAUCUCGAGGCUCAACCUCGAGGCUGCCUUCUAAACUGUCGGGCUUGAGCAGAGUAGAGGCAGGUGGAAUUCCCGGUGUAGCGGUGGAAUGCGUAGAGAUCGGGAAGAACAUCGGUGGCGAAGGCGGCCUGCUGGGCUCUUGCUGACACUGAGGCGCGACAGCGUGGGGAGCAAACAGG